rnacentral:rRNA from 1 species
AACAAACGCUGGCGGCGUGCCUAAUACAUGCAAGUCGAACGGGGAAAGCUUUCGGGUGAGUACUAGUGGCGCACGGGUGAGUAACGCGUGGAUAAUCUGCCUUAGAGUGGGGGAUAACUAGUCGAAAGAUUAGCUAAUACCGCAUAAGACCACAAGAACUGCGGUUAAAGGGGUCAAAGGUUUUUCGCUCUAAGAUGAGUCCGCGUAAGAUUAGCUAGUUGGUAGGGUAACGGCCUACCAAGGCGACGAUCUUUAAAUGGUCUGAGAGGAUGAUCAGUCACACUGGAACUGAGACACGGUCCAGACUCCUACGGGAGGCAGCAGUAGGGAAUAUUGCACAAUGGAGGAAACUCUGAUGCAGCGACGCCGCGUGAGUGAUGAAGGCCUUCGGGUCGUAAAGCUCUGUCGCAGGGGAAUAACACAAUGAAGGUACCCUGUAAGAAAGGAUCGGCUAACUUCGUGCCAGCCGCCGCAGUAACAC